rnacentral:rRNA from 1 species
GAUGAACGCUGGCGGCGUGCCUAAUACAUGCAAGUCGAGCGAAUGAUGAGGAGCUUGCUCCUCUGAUUUAGCGGCGGACGGGUGAGUAACACGUGGGUAAUCUGCCUGUAAGACGGGGAUAACUCCGGGAAACCGGGGCUAAUACCGGAUAACAAGAGAAGAAGCAUUUCUUCUUUUUGAAAGUCGGUUUUGGCUGAUACUUACAGAUGAGCCCGCGGCGCAUUAGCUAGUUGGUGAGGUAACGGCUCACCAAGGCGACGAUGCGUAGCCGACCUGAGAGGGUGAUCGGCCACACUGGGACUGAGACACGGCCCAGACUCCUACGGGAGGCAGCAGUAGGGAAUCUUCGGCAAUGGGCGAAAGCCUGACCGAGCAACGCCGCGUGAGCGAUGAAGGCCUUCGGGUCGUAAAGCUCUGUUGUUAGUGAAGAACAAGUACGAGAGUAACUGCUCGUACCUUGACGGUACCUAACCAGAAAGCCACGGCUAACUACGUGCCAGCCGCCGCAGUAAAAC